rnacentral:misc_RNA from 1 species
GAUGAAGAACGCAGCGAAUGCGAUAAGUAGUGUGAAUUGCAGAAUUCAGUGAAUCAUCGAAUCUUUGAACGCACAUUGCGCCCUUUGGUAUUCCUUAGGGCAUGCCUGUUCGAGCGUCAUUUAAACCUUCAAGCUCAGCUUGGUGUUGGGUGACUGUCCGCUUCACCGCGGACUCGCCUCAAAAUUAUUGGCGGCCGGUACAUUGGCUUCGAGCGCAGCAGAAACGCGAACUCGGGCCCGUCGUAUUGGCUCCCAGAAGCUAUCUUCACAAUUUUGACCUCGGAUCAGGUAGGGAUACCCGCUGAACUUAAGCAUAUCAAUAAGCGGAGGA